GCAUAGGAUGAAGCUGGACAAUAAGGGACGGAUUUCUGCGGUUUUCUUUCCAUAAACGUCCAACCAUGCUCAUUUUCCCUGCCCUCCGAAGGCAGAGGUCACAGGUUCGAAUCCUGUCGGGUGCGCCA
rnacentral:tRNA from 1 species